rnacentral:lncRNA from 1 species
CGGCGGGUCUCACGCCUCUCCAGGUUGCUCACAUACUUCCAGAAUCCGUAUACACCAGUCAGGGUCAUCAGCCUCUCGGAGUAGAGCUUCCAGGUGUACCUGACCAAUCCAAAGCAUGUAAUAUCAGGAUUUACUCCUAACUAGAGAAGGGUAACACAAAAUUUCUGAGUGUUCGUGGCAUGGAAUGAUAUCUAAGUGCUCAACCAUAUAAUAUAUGAUUGUGAGAAUUAAUCAGAUACGGACUUUGGUCAACAAGAAUUCUUCAUUGUACAUCUAUUUAUAUCAUAUAUGGCAGAAGAGAAAAAUUCAUACUUCUCAUAAAUUCUCUGCAGUCCACCCUGUGAGAUCUUGUCCCAGUAGCUUGGGUCUGCCUUGCACUUCUCAAAGAAGUUGACCAAGAUAUCUGCAGCUUUGUCACUGUGGUAGGGAUCAAUGUGUAAACCAGACACCCCGUCCACAAUGAUUUCAGCAGGGCCACCAUGGCAGGUUGCAAUUGUUGGCAAACCGCACGUCAUGGACUCAAUGACAGUCAGGCCAAAUGCUUCAUAGAAUGCAGGCUACAAAAACAAAGUGAUAAAAUAAUUUAGUCCGGCACAAGCUCUAUGACUGUCGUUAUCAGAAUGUAGAUUGCACUAUUAUCGGAACUUGGAAGUGAUUUAUUAGAUUAAGUGUGUAUACGUACCUGCACAAAUGCUCCCUUCGUGUCACAAAUGUAGCGGUACAACUCCGCAUUGCGGACACGGUUCAUCUGAGCUGAGAUCCACCGAAUAUGGCCCUUCAAGUUGUACUCAUCAAUGAGACUGUACAUCUUCUUGAACUCUGCCUGCUCCUCCCUGUCCUUCGAUUCCUUGCCAUGGUCACCAGCAACAAUCACAAGGUUUGCCAAUUCCCUCAGGCGUGCAUUCUUACCAUACAUCUCAACCAAGCCUGUCAUGUUCUUCACACGGUCAAGACGAGCCAUUGAGAAGAUGAUCGGCUUGUUCUUGUCCUUCAACACAAACCUGGAAGCAAUUAAAUACCAGGUGUUCAGGUGGAAAACUUAUUUAUUGUAAAUGGCCAUAACAGCUUUGCAUAUCUUAAUAGAUAGAAAGAUGGACAGACAUGCAGAUGAGUGUUGGAAUAUUUACAAGCUGAUUGACUACAAGAAGACAUUCAAUCAGUUCAGUACUCACUUGUGCUCAUCGUUCUCAACAUCACUGUAGAUGAGCUCCUCAAUUUCAGGAUGGAAGGCAGUGAGUCUCUUGUCAGUUUCAGUGUAUGGGUAGUAAACACUCAUGUCUGCUCCAGGAGAGACAAUGUUGAAUUUGGGAUCAAAAACAUCAAUGCCAUGGACAACACGGUAAAGUCCAGGAAGAGUGAACGCGAUGUGGGACUCAUACUGCCCCACAGUGUCCUUGCUGCAGAAAUAACAGAGAAAAAAUCAGAUACUAGUUUCGUUACUACUACAAUACAGCGAGAUUCUAAAGAUAAUAUACAAAACUUACCUCCCUGCGAUUUCUUGGAAUGUACUGGUGAUGAUGAAAUCAGUGUGAUUCAUGGCAAUAAGGUCAGCUGUGAACUGGCAUGAGAAGUGGUAUUGGCUGUCAAAUUUGUCCAAGUAUAUGUCCGAGUUGGGGUAUUUGGUUUUCUCCAAGGCAUGGGCAAUGGUACACUGCAAGUAUGUACAAAACUAUUAGGCAUUUGGAGAACUUAAUAAUUUUAUAUAAAAAAAAACUCAAUUAUUCAUGUACAGCCAAACAGACCUGAGUAACUCCCAACUUGUGUGCGAGCAGAGUGGCGACUAGGUUGCCAUCACUGUAGUUGCCAACGAUAAGGUCAGGCUUGGCCUGCAUUUCUAACAUUAUUUCACUGGCAACAUCCUGCAGCACAGAAUGCAUGACUUCAGUAUUACUCAAACAAGCUAUGCUGUGUAGGACAUUCAGUCAGAUAAUCUAUAUACCUCAGUGUAUGUCUCCAGGUAUGGCCAGACAUCAAAACGAGAGAUCCACUUGCGGAGAAUACCAUUCUCAUUUCUGAAUGGAAUACGAAUAAUGUCAGUGUGCUCAGUUCCAAUGACCUUCUCCAGACGCUGACCGCACGUAGUCCCAACAGCAUCAGGCAACAGCCUGGUAACCUGCACAAAUAAGAUUAUGUAGGCACAUUUACUGAGUAAAUCAAGACAUAACGAAAAGGGUUCAGAAGGCGAAACAUGGUCUCAAACAUGAAACAUACAAUGAGGAUCUUCGGGGUGAUGUCAAGGCCUUGCUGCUUAAUCCUAAGAAGCAUCUCAUUCUCCAAAGCACGGACUUGAUCCAAAAUGUACACAACCUGCAAAAUGAUUGCAAAUGAGAAACCUAAAAGCUAUAAUAGCUAAAAGAAAAACAAUCAGUGUCUCGAAAAAAAAUCACUAAGCUUCUGUACCUGGCCACCAGUGUCAGGGUAUCCAAGCACAUUGGAUUGGGCAAAGUAGCCAUGAGGAGACAGGAUAACAACAUUGAACAUCAUUGGUAUAGUUCCAAGGAACUUCUCCAAGUUGGCAGGAUCAGGGGCCUCAAGAAGGUCAAGAAGCAAGUGGAGUGUGUCAAGUACGCGCUUUGCAGUGUCACCCCAACCCUUCUCCAAGCCAAGCUCUUGGAACCUAAUGCAGAUCAUGGUGGCAUACAAGCAGUUAAUACAUUUGCUAGUUCAACCAAAGUUAAAUGGCAAGGACAAUUUAUUGAUGAAUCACCUAUGGUUGAACUCUGAGUAGGGAGUGUCUUGAGGGACACUCAGUAGAUACUCUUCUGCCUUUCUAAGGGAUGACUGGAGCCCACGGAGGCUCUGAAUUCUGUCAUUCAACAUCAUCGUCUGUAACAGAAAAAAAAAAGACUUACAAAUGAGGGAGUUGGGUGGCAUCAUUUAAUCCAUUUUCAGAUUAUGUAAAGUUCCUAAAUAAAUAUUGUCAUCAUCCAUUGUGAAGCAUGUGCUUGGAAGAUUCUGAAUUGUAAGCUCACCGUGCCCUUGUAGUUAUGGGCUUUGAGGAAAUUCAGCAAUGGGUACAGGCUCUCCUUGUCCUGGAACAACUUGGAAGACAGGUGUCGGUUAAGGAAUUGCACUCCAUUCCCAAUGGACUUUGACAUGGAAGGACGAGGGAACGAGGCAUUGAAGGGCUCAAAAUCAAGCUCAAGCACAAAGUUGCUGUUGGAACUGGCAUAAACAAAAGGAGGUAUGGAAUUAGUACAUACGUGUACAAGUUUCUAUAACUAGAAUCAAGAUAUUAGCCUAUAAAACUACAAAGAAUUCACCGAAGAACUUACUUUCCAUCCACCAGCUGUUCCUUGAAUGCCAAGUACUCAGAAACACUCAGCUCCUCCACAGCCAACUCGCUUACAUUCACUCGAAUGUAAUCCCAGACACCAGGCCUUGGCCUGAUAGCAAGUGCUACCCAGGGGGGGAGCACAAUUGCUUCCUAUAUGCAGAAAAGGGAAAUUAGAAUGAGUACCUGAUUUUCAAUUGGCAAUCACUCAAGCAGGCAUCUCAGCAGUGUUACCUGAGCAGCACGAAGAAAGUCUUCGAAGGGCGCAUACUUCUCCUUGUCACUAUCAAACAGGGCAUCAAACUCAGCAAGCAGUUGAUGGCGCUGAAGCAUUCCCUUGCCCUGGUUAACAUACCUGUAAAAGUGAUAUUUCACAAAUAAAAUGGAUGUUACAUCUCAUAUCAUGUACCUUUUCCCCUGCUGUGAUGGACAUUUUAUAUCCUAUUUAGAUCUGAAGGAUGUAAAUAUUAAAUGGCACUGUACCAACUAAAGUCAAACAAUCUGCCAAAUGAUGUACCACAAAGUAUACUGUCUUAUCAACUAAUUGUACUAAUCAAACCAAAAGGCUUCAAAAACUGAAGAGCAGCAACACUAUGCUUUACAAUCAAUAAUCUCCUGAUCAUAAAAUCAUUAUAUAUGAUCAAUGAGUCGAUGAUGAAUAGCAAUUAGCAUGCAUGAUGGUGUUAACAAAAGAAACCAAGAAAGAAGUUGCAUAUGCUCGUGUUUACAUUUGGGAUGAAGAGAAUACCAAAUUAACAAAUUCCAGUACAGGAAAUGAAAUGCAAGUUACAUAUUUUGGUAUGCCCACCUGGAGAAGAGUGCAAUCAGCUCAUUGGGAUGAGAGGAGAAGGUGGCACCAAGGCGUUCGCGAAGACUGUGGAGGCGAGUCAACUUGGCAGCCAUGGCUCAAUGAUACUCAAUACUGCAAUUCGAGCUAUACAGUUAAGAUUCAGCAGCACCACUUGUACAAGAACAAUAAAUAAAGAGCUAGCACUUAGAAGACUGUCUGAAAAAGUAGGUAAUGCAAGAGGAACCUGAAUUUGAAAAAAAAAAUGUAGUAUGCAGCUAUACAAUUUGAUUUAUCUCAACAGAAACACUUAACCAGAUAGAAUCAUAUAGAAAAAUAGUCAUGAUAAAGCAGGCACUUAUCCCCACCCAAACAAAGCAAGUAUUCAGUAUUGAUCCUCCACCAAACAAAAGCAAGUACUGAUUCCGCACAAGCACUUAGUUAUAUGAUAAUAUUUUCAAAGCAGAAAGGAACCAACAUGAUUGAGUUAAUUUGCUGAGUAUUGAUGCCAUCCAGACCCUAAACCCCACUAAGAGGCAGCCAAAAACCAGUAAAAAUAAGAGGAUUUGGCUUCCGAAUAAGCACAGCCAACCGCAAGAAGCCAAGAAUGGACAUGGACAUCACAAAUUCCUAGAGUAAGGACAUCAUCAUCAUCAAAAGGGGAAAUAUAGAAAAAUCCAACAAGAUGACUUUUCGUAGUAAAAGAACCAAAAACAAAAGAAAGGUUUUUUCGCGCUAAUAAUCCACCAAAACGACAAAUACAUUUCUCGGAAAGCAAAAGAGAUGAGCACGGCAAGCAAUCACAGCAAGAUCUCAAGCAAACUACAGAGCCUAGAACUUCUACUGCAUCCAUGUGUGAAUCCAAGUUUACCACCACCACCAAGUAAAAUCCUAAGCUCAAAACUCCCAGAAAAGGACGGGGGAAGCUCUGUGCGCAGCACAGCAACGAUUUAGAUCAGAGAAAUCUAUAAACCCAACUCCGAACAUGUCAGCAGAGCCCUGGCAAGAUUCAGGAGAUGACGCACCCAACGAGUCACGGAAACGCAUGAAAACCGGAAGAAAUGGCGAGGCAAGGAGACAAUUAAGGCGAGUGAUUGCGCUCAUCAAGACACGAUCUUUUCUACCGCGGCCAGAUUAGCUCAAAAUCCCAGCAAAAACCCCACCCAGGAUUUACCAGAGGACAGUGGUUUAGUACGGAGAUAAACAGAAGAGCGAGC